UACGUAGGGUGCAAGCGUUAAUCGGAAUUACUGGGCGUAAAGCGUGCGCAGGCGGUUAUGUAAGACAGGCGUGAAAGCCCCGGGCUCAACCUGGGAACCGCGCUUGAGACUGGCAUGCUCGAGUUCGGGAGAGGAUGGUGGAAUUCCCAGUGUAGAGGUGAAAUUCGUAGAUAUUGGGAAGAACACCGAUGGCGAAGGCAGCCAUCUGGACCGACACUGACGCUGAGGCGCGGAAAGCGUGGGGAGCAAACAGG
rnacentral:rRNA from 1 species